rnacentral:rRNA from 1 species
UGUGAACUCGAAGAGUAGGGCGGGACACGUGGUAUCCUGUCUGAAUAUGGGGGGACCAUCCUCCAAGGCUAAAUACUCCUGACUGACCGAUAGUGAACCAGUACCGUGAGGGAAAGGCGAAAAGAACCCCGGCGAGGGGAGUGAAAAAGAACCUGAAACCGUGUACGUACAAGCAGUGGGAGCACCUUCGGGUGUGACUGCGUACCUUUUGUAUAAUGGGUCAGCGACUUAUAUUCUGUAGCAAGGUUAACCGUAUAGGGGAGCCGCAGGGAAACCGAGUCUUAACUGGGCGUUAAGUUGCAGGGUAUAGACCCGAAACCCGGUGAUCUAGCCAUGGGCAGGUUGAAGGUUGGGUAACACUAACUGGAGGACCGAACCGACUAAUGUUGAAAAAUUAGCGGAUGACUUGUGGCUGGGGGUGAAAGGCCAAUCAAACCGGGAGAUAGCUGGUUCUCCCCGAAAGCUAUUUAGGUAGCGCCUCGUGAACUCAUCUUCGGGGGUAGAGCACUGUUUCGGCUAGGGGGUCAUCCCGACUUACCAACCCGAUGCAAACUACGAAUACCGAAGAAUGUUAUCACGGGAGACACACGGCGGGUGCUAACGUCCGUCGUGAAGAGGGAAACAACCCAGACCGCCAGCUAAGGUCCCAAAGUCAUGGUUAAGUGGGAAACGAUGUGGGAAGGCACAGACAGCCAGGAUGUUGGCUUAGAAGCAGCCAUCAUUUAAAGAAAGCGUAAUAGCUCACUGGUCGAGUCGGCCUGCGCGGAAGAUGUAACGGGGCUAAACCAUGCACCGAAGCUGCGGCAGCGACACUAUGUGUUGUUGGGUAGGGGAGCGUUCUGUAAGCCUGCGAAGGUGUGCUGUGAGGCAUGCUGGAGGUAUCAGAAGUGCGAAUGCUGACAUAAGUAACGAUAAAGCGGGUGAAAAGCCCGCUCGCCGGAAGACCAAGGGUUCCUGUCCAACGUUAAUCGGGGCAGGGUGAGUCGACCCCUAAGGCGAGGCCGAAAGGCGUAGUCGAUGGGAAACAGGUUAAUAUUCCUGUACUUGGUGUUACUGCGAAGGGGGGACGGAGAAGGCUAUGUUAGCCGGGCGACGGUUGUCCCGGUUUAAGCAUGUAGGCUGGUUAUCCAGGCAAAUCCGGAUAAUCAAGGCUGAGGUGUGAUGACGAGGCACUACGGUGCUGAAGUAACAAAUGCCCUGCUUCCAGGAAAAGCCUCUAAGCAUCAGGUAACAUCAAAUCGUACCCCAAACCGACACAGGUGGUCAGGUAGAGAAUACCAAGGCGCUUGAGAGAACUCGGGUGAAGGAACUAGGCAAAAUGGUGCCGUAACUUCGGGAGAAGGCACGCUGGUGUGUAGGUGAAGCCCCUGCGGGUGGAGCUGAGACCAGUCGAAGAUACCAGCUGGCUGCAACUGUUUAUUAAAAACACAGCACUGUGCAAACACGAAAGUGGACGUAUACGGUGUGACGCCUGCCCGGUGCCGGAAGGUUAAUUGAUGGGGUUAUCCGUAAGGAGAAGCUCUUGAUCGAAGCCCCGGUAAACGGCGGCCGUAACUAUAACGGUCCUAAGGUAGCGAAAUUCCUUGUCGGGUAAGUUCCGACCUGCACGAAUGGCGUAAUGAUGGCCAGGCUGUCUCCACCCGAGACUCAGUGAAAUUGAACUCGCUGUGAAGAUGCAGUGUACCCGCGGCAAGACGGAAAGACCCCGUGAACCUUUACUAUAGCUUGACACUGAACAUUGAGCCUUGAUGUGUAGGAUAGGUGGGAGGCUUUGAAGCGUGGACGCCAGUCUGCGUGGAGCCAACCUUGAAAUACCACCCUUUAAUGUUUGAUGUUCUAACGUUGGCCCCUUACCGGGGUUGCGGACAGUGUCUGGUGGGUAGUUUGACUGGGGCGGUCUCCUCCCAAAGCGUAACGGAGGAGCACGAAGGUUAGCUAAUCCUGGUCGGACAUCAGGAGGUUAGUGCAAUGGCAUAAGCUAGCUUGACUGCGAGCGUGACGGCGCGAGCAGGUGCGAAAGCAGGUCAUAGUGAUCCGGUGGUUCUGAAUGGAAGGGCCAUCGCUCAACGGAUAAAA